rnacentral:rRNA from 1 species
GCAGAUCAGCAUGCUGCGGUGAAUACGUUCCCGGGCCUUGUACACACCGCCCGUCACACCAUGAGAGUCGAUAACACCCGAAGCCUGUAGUCUAACCAUAAGGAGGACGCAGUCGAAGGUGGGAUUGAUAAUUAGGGUGAAGUCGUAACAAGGUACC